GCAUACUAGACAGCUCAGGGGGGGACGUGUUGAAGUGCAUGUAACUGAGAAGCUGGGAAUUGGAAUUGGGUUGGUGGACGCCCAUCCGUCAUGUGAAUAGCGACAUGCAUAGCUUUAGUGCUGAAAGAAAUAGCCGAGAGGUACUCUGCGGAAAUGGUGGUGAAGAUCCUUAAGCUGCAAGCGAACACAAAGCCUCGUGCCAAAUCUCGUUGGUAGAUAUUGUUAAUAUGACAUCAGUAUAUGAAAUAUAAUGCUGAUACAACGUUAAAUAUUAUGUGACAGUACGUGAAUACAAAGUUUUGUACAUAGGAGACCUCGGAUUAGUCAAUUCAUAUGAUUAAUAUACAGAUAAGUCAAUUCAUAUGAUUAAUAUAAAUACAAAUAUAUAACAUGUAUAUGUAAGCAAGCUAAGUAAGCCAUCUGGAUCUUUAUCACAUUUGACUAGAGGACGGUACCUCCUUAACCAACCGGCCAAACGUACAAAUUACUACUCAAUUAUAUUACCCCUUUUCUUUAUUUUCAAAAUCAAACAAAAUAAUGAUAGAUGCAUAUACUUGAUUGAUUCUUAAAUGAAUAUCUGUUCUAGCUGGUACUAGUAAUAUGCUCACGUGUUGGUGCGAGACUUGAGGUACCGUUUGGUACGUGGGACGGGACGGAAUGCAGUGGGAUGAAGCGUUCUGUCUUACGUUUGGUGCGCGAAAAACAGUGGAACACGCUGUUCCAUAGGAUGAAAUUUGGCUGAAUUUUCGUUCCACCUCUACCUCCUGGAACACAAAAUUAUGAAAUUUUAAGACAAAAAUGCCCCUCUUCUUUUUCAAUAUUUACACCACCUUAAUCACAAAACAAACCCUAAAAUUCUAUCAUCUUCUUUCCAUCUUCUCUGCCAUUGCCUUGUUUCUCACAGGUCUCUCCAACCUUAGUCCUCAUCCUCUCCCAUAGCCUCUCUUUUCUCUUGCCCACGGAGUGGAACUCAAAGCUCUGCAUCUCCAGGUUCGAUCUUUGCAUCUCCAGACUAUGUGUUCAAGGUGGUACUGAUAGGUGACUCUGCGGUGGGCAAGUUUCAGAUUCUGGCCAGAUAUUAUCGAAACGAGUUUAGCUUGGACUCCAUGGCCACCAUCAGUGUCAAGUUUCAGACUCGGACCCUCCUCAUCGAGCACAAGAACAGUCUCUCUCUCUCUCUCUCUCUCUCUCUCUCUCUCUCUCUCUCUCUCUCUCUCUCUCUCCAGCUGUAGCAUACAACCCUUUUCUUUCAAUUUGCUACUUGGGUUCUUUGGAUUGAUAGAUUGCAGCGAUUCCAUUAAACUUUAUGCUUUUUUGCUUUUUCCUGUUUUAGUGAAAGUUCUGAGUUGCUUUUUUGGUGAGCUGUAUGCAUAGAUUGCAUUACAUCCUUUGAAGUUUUUUUUUUUUGGUUUUUUCCUUUCUUUCUGGGUUGAUUUCUUCAAGUAAAUUUUUAAUGAUGGUAACUGAAUUACUUCUCUCUAUGCUACAUUAGAUAAUCAUAGUGAGAAAAAUUUGUACAGAAAGUUUGGGUAAGAUUAGUAGUUUUCUAUUUAUCUGAGAGUUAUAUAUCCAUGUUUUUGAACCUGAUAGUGUACUUAAUAUAUUGUGAUAAUGAUUUGGAUAUCCACUCGAAUGAUUAGAAAUGUUAAAUACCGAGAAUUAAAUUAGUUAUCGGUUUGCAUACAUUUGAUGGCUUUGCAUAUUGUGCAAUAUACAAUAUACAUUUGAUGGCUUUGCAUAUUCAGCUCCAAGGUGAUUAGCGCAAGACCGUACUGCAGUUUCUCGUUUAGGCCAAGAUUGUCAAGAAGGAUUAGAUCAAGAUUCAUGGGUUCUGAGGACAUUGAGUCGUAGUCGAGUUUGUUACCGUUGUAUUAAGUUUGCUACUACCUCCCAGAACCUCUUGGCUUGUUUGGAUGUUCUGGGGUUGUAAUAACAGAAUUGUCUAUAUAAUGUGGAAUUUUAAUAGACUUCUGAUGCA